UUGAGAGUCAUGCAAGAAAGAUGUUCUUUUUGCUUUCACAGACCUUCAAAGGGGAUGCUAUUGCCAAUCUGAGCAUCAAAUCAAAUGAGUUGCUUGAUUAAAGAACAGGGCUACCUUGUGUCUUUUUUUUUUUUUUUUUUUUUAUGAUUUCUUUCACUUUUCAAAACCCUUUCCAUUCUUCAGGACCCAUCUUCCUUGCUUCAUGGUUUAACACCUCAUGCUUCCUUGAAUCAGUUAGCCAGGAGAAUAAGAAAUUUUGGCUGAGUAUUGUUAGAACGGAGGCACUGGCCCACCUAGGAAGUUAGCCUCCAAACAAUGUGCUCAGCAGUUCCAAAUCUAGUGGCUCAAAGCCUCAUCUCCCUGGCUUUGUUAUCUACAGGUGCUGACCUGCUUGGUGAAUGCUGGGAUCUCUGGAAGAGGGAGGCAGACAUCACACACCAGCUGGCAAGUGGGAGCUGGCAUGCAACAUGCCCCAAUACCACUCCCCUCCUGCCAUCCCUAUCUCCUAAUGGUGCCUCCUUUUGGCCAAACCCACCUUUGGCUGGAGGGCAACAGAGCCCAUUGACGUGGUCCCCUUGCAUCUGCUACCUGGGGAGAAAAGCAGGAUGGACACUGAAUCUAGAGAAAUGAAGAAACCCAUCCAGAAGAAUACUGCUUCUUUAUGUUUUUGUAGGUGUACAAAUCAGGCCUCCCCAUGAUAUUCUAAACUCCUUGAGGAAAGAAGUGGAGUCCUGGGCUUCUGAUGUAGCCUCCACAGUGCUCAGGGGAUAGCGACACUGGCACCCUAUAGAUAUUUAAUUACAUGUGGACUGGAAGAGACCAAACAGCUUCCUGGUAUUUCAAUCAAACCCGGUGCUCUAGACCUGUGGCUCACUCUGAGCAAACUAUAAUGAGUUGAACUUGAAUCUGAUUCCUGCUAAGAAAGGUUUCAUUUUAAUAGGCAGUAAGGCUAUGAGCUAACACCAGAAUUCAUUCGAGUUACUAGACUCACUGAAACUCCUCACAGGAUCCAUCUUUCAUGUUUUCUAGAUUUUGGUAUUCUUAUCUAAACUGCAGACCCAGAAACCCUAUGGACCCUACCUUUCCAAUUAUAUUUCUGGGAAGAGUCAUUCUCUGCAGAGCUGAAGCAUGUAACAGAAAGUUCUCAACCUGAAAAAUAUACCUUCUGCGCCCAAGCCCCACUUUCUGCCACUAUUUGGUAAUCUCAAGUGGGUGAGGUGGUCUCUGAACUUCAGCGCUCUCAUGGUCAGAGCCACAAGGGGUUACUGGGAGGCUAAAGGGAAGUGGCAAACGUGGCUGAGAUUCAGAAAGAAAAGCAGCAAGUGUAGAGAGGCAAGGACUUUUCCAUCUUUUAAAUUCCUUAAAGGAAGCCAAAGUUCAUUUUCCAGUCUCCUUCAGAUGCCUCUCCAAUCCUUCACAGCAGCGCACACAUACCGCAGAAGGAACUCACCAUCACAAAAAGAUGACAGAGCACUGGGGGCUGGGGUGCCACUUGUGUUGGCUGAGAGCCUGGAUGCAUGUGAGGUCAAGCCUGACCUUGGGAAAGCUGCUCUCUGGACAUUACUUGCUGUGCCACAUACACAGCUUGGGUUUCUGAGGAAACAACACAGGCUCUAAGGAGGAACUGGAACGGGGCCCAGGGUAUAUCUUUUACAGCCCGUACUUUUGAGGAAAAUAGAAGACAAAAGGUUUUUAAAAAACACAAAGUGUAUACACGUAUACACAAAGUUUACAAGUUUGUGUGUUUUAACAUCUACUCUCCUUAAGAACAAGUAGACAGGAAAGAUAUUACCUGAUAUGGGUUAAAUUGUGUCCCCAAAAACAUGUUUUGAAGUGCUAACCUUUGGUACCUGUGGAUAUGACCUUACUUGGAAAUAGGUUUUUGCAGACGUAACCAAGUUAAGAUGAGGUCAUAUUUGAUUAGGCUGAACCCUGAAUCCAGUAUGACUGGGGUCCUUAUAUAAACAAGAGAGACACACGCAGAGUGAAGAUGAUGUGUUGAAACACAGGAACAGUGUCAUGGGAUGCUGGGGACAGCAGUUGGAGUGAUGCAUCUAUGGGCCAAGGGAAUGCCAAGGAUUGCCAGCCAUCACCAGGACAGAAGCAUGGGUACUGAUGCCCUCACAGAGCCCUUGAAGAGAGUCAACCCUGCUGACACCUUGAUUUCAGACUUCCAGCCUCCAGAACUGUGAGAGAAUAAAUUUCCGUUGUCUUAAGUCACCCAGUUUGUAGCACUUUAUUAUGGCAGCCCUGGGAAACUAACACACUACCCUUAUUUUCAUGCUGAGGAAUGUAAGAUAGUUUUAGGCACCACCUGCUUCUAUACAAGUUUUAUGAUCUCUCCUCCUAAUACUGCAGAAAUUAUGGGUUUUACCAUCUUAGUAUAUAGCAUAAUAUAUCCAGCACACGUUAUAUAUUUAGC
rnacentral:lncRNA from 10 species